AGGGUCCCUAAAGAUGCUAAGACAACAGUCUGACUGGAGGACAGUUCAGCUGGCUGUGUGACUUUGUGCUGCCUGGGAAUCCAAACAGAAAAAAAUCAUGGCGCCUCCAGAGGACCGUAUGAUGAUCUUCACCUGGAAGAUGCCAUGUGCUAAAUGUGGACUUCAUCCCACAGUCUUACACCGAAGAAAAAAGAGCUACAAAGAAUAAUGAUCCAUGGAUUCUAGAGAGGGACAUGGAAAUGCAUGUUAUACAUUAAAUGUGACACAAGAGAGAUGAAUUAUGCAGUAAGCUCGGUGCGUGCUGAUCAGCACAAAGCCCAAGGCACAUUCAGUGGAGUUUCUAUGAAGAUCUGUAAUGAGUUUCAAGUACAUCAUUUCCUG